rnacentral:rRNA from 1 species
GUGCCAGCCGCCGCGGUAAGACGAAGGGGGCUAGCGUUGUUCGGAAUUACUGGGCGUAAAGCGAGUGUAGGUGGUUGUCCAAGUUGGAUGUGAAAGCCUUGAGCUCAACUCAAGAAAUGCAUUCAGGACUGGGCGGCUAGAGGACCGGAGAGGAUAGUGGAAUUCCCAGUGUAGUGGUGAAAUACGUAGAGAUUGGGAAGAACACCAGUGGCGAAGGCGGCUAUCUGGACGGUUUCUGACACUAAGACUCGAAAGCGUGGGGAGCAAACAGGAUUAGAAACCCCUGUAGUCC